UACGUAGGUGGCGAGCGUUGUCCGGAUUUACUGGGCGUAAAGAGCGCGCAGGCGGUCGUUCAAGUCGCGUGUGAAAGCCCCCGGCUCAACUGGGGAGGGUCACGCGAUACUGAUCGACUCGAAGGCAGGAGAGGGUAGUGGAAUUCCCGGUGUAGUGGUGAUAUGCGUAGAUAUCGGGAGGAACACCAGUGGCGAAGGCGGCUCUCUGGGCCCUACCUGACGCUGAGACGCGAAAGCGUGGGGAGCAAACAGG
rnacentral:rRNA from 1 species